GCGUGCUGAGCAGUACUUUUCUCGUCGUUGGUUUGGUAACCAAACCAACGUAUUUUCUUCUUCCUUAUAUCCUUUAGCUUCAGCUUGUGUGCUACUACGGCUCCUUGACGAUCUCAAUCUAGCUCUACUCUUCGGAGACUUCUGGCACAAAAGCUAGCAACCCCCGCAGAAGUGUAGAUUGAUUCCUGCCUCAGAUGUUGGUGAGAUGAUUACAAUCUAGUAGAACAGAUUGCACAUUUUUUCCAGCCAGGUACCAUAUCUUCGAGGUCCGUCUCCUCCCUGUCUUUGUUUGAAAGUAGGAUAUAUACCGUAGUCAUGCAUGCAAC